rnacentral:rRNA from 1 species
UACGGAGGGUGCAAGCGUUAUCCGGAUUCACUGGGUUUAAAGGGUGCGUAGGUGGGCAGAUAAGUCAGUGGUGAAAUCUUUGGGCUUAACCCGAAAACUGCCAUUGAUACUAUUUGUCUUGAAUAUUGUGGAGGUCAGCGGAAUAUGUCAUGUAGCGGUGAAAUGCUUAGAUAUGACAUAGAACACCAAUUGCGAAGGCAGCUGGCUACACAUAUAUUGACACUGAUGCACGAAAGCGUGGGGAUCAAACAGG